ACUACGGGUGGCAGCAGUGAGGAAUAUUGGUCAAUGGGCGGAAGCCUGAACCAGCCAAGUAGCGUGCAGGAUGACGGCCCUACGGGUUGUAAACUGCUUUUAUACGGGAAUAACGCGCCUUACGUGUAGGGCUUUGCAUGUACCGUAUGAAUAAGGACCGGCUAAUUCCGUGCCAGCAGCCGCGGUAAUACGGAAGGUCCGGGCGUUAUCCGGAUUUAUUGGGUUGAAAGGGAGCGUAGGCCGCAUGUCAAGCGUGCUGUGAAAUGUCCGGGCUAAACCCGGGCCUUGCAGCGCGAACUGGCGUGCUUGAGUCCGCGGAAAGCAGGCGGAAUUCGUCGUGUAGCGGUGAAAUGCUUAGAUAUGACGAAGAACCCCGAUUGCGAAGGCAGCUUGCUGCAGCGGAACUGACGCUGAUGCUCGAAAGCGCGGGUAUCGAACAGGAUUAGAUACCCCGGUAGUC
rnacentral:rRNA from 1 species